GCGGAUGUGGUGGAAUUGGUAGACACGCGUGCCUUAGGAGCACGUGCCCUCGGGCGUGAAGGUUCAAGUCCUUUCAUCCGUACCA
rnacentral:tRNA from 1 species